AGUGAGAAUGCAGGCAUGAGUAGCGAAUGACGGGUGAGAAACCCGUCCGCCGAAUGAUCAAGGGUUCCGGGGUCAAGCUAAUCUGCCCCGGGUGAGUCGGGACCUAAGGCGAGGCCGACAGGCGUAGUCGAUGGACAACGGGUUGAUAUUCCCGUACCGG
rnacentral:ncRNA from 1 species